rnacentral:rRNA from 1 species
UACGUAGGGUGCAAGCGUUAAUCGGAAUUACUGGGCGUAAAGCGUGCGUAGGUGGUCUGUUAAGUCUGAUGUGAAAGCCCUGGGCUCAACCUGGGAAUGGCAUUGGAUACUGGCAGGCUAGAGUGCGGUAGAGGAUGGCGGAAUUCCCGGUGUAGCAGUGAAAUGCGUAGAGAUCGGGAGGAACAUCUGUGGCGAAGGCGGCCAUCUGGACCAGCACUGACACUGAGGCACGAAAGCGUGGGGAGCAAACAGG